CUCUUUAAUUUAAAGUAAUGUAAACCAUAAUGAUAAGUAAAAUCUAUUAACAAGCAAUUAGAGAAAUGGCAAACUAAAACUCACAUAUUUUAGAAACUAAGUUGAAAUUUUGGUCAGUGUUAUCCUACCCAAGAAGACUUGCUGGCCUGUUAUUUGUGAUUACUUUGUUUUCUGUUGCAACUGAAACCUAGCCCUUCUCCUAAUGACAGUCUCCUCAUAGAUCUCGACAGACAGUUGUCCCCUCAUCUCACAGCGCUUGAGUAUGCCAUAAACAACCGUCCCCUUCUCUUUGCCAGCCUCACCGCUGUUACUGAGUCCAUCAUCACCCGGAUCACAUUUCCGUCUUUAACAGGAUUUGUGCUGUGAAGCAAGAAUUGUUUUCCAGACUAUGGAGGAGCAUGUGGCAUCCCAUACAUUGUUCGAUUUUAGCCUGGACCAGCUCUGCCUCAUUUCUGAAGUUAUAAAGCCCCCAAAGCAUUCUUUAGUCACAAUUCUUUGCAGUCAGUACUCCCUCUUGCCCCCAGCAGUUCCCAGGUUUGGCACUCACUCUAAUCUCCAGUCUCUCAUUUCCUGCCUUUGCCCUGUGUAUAAAUCUCAUUUGUUCCCCAUGUAGCCUAGACUUCCACUGUAUUAUUAACUACCACUUUCUUUAUUACUCACUAUGUUUUAUUAAUAAUCACAAAAAUAACAUUUAUUAAGUAUGUAUCGGGUAGGAUUAACUUAAGAAUAGUUGAUCAAGGGACAGAGUUUGAGCUGAUCUGUGUGAGGAAUGCUGAGAAAUAAUUGCUUCAACCUCAUUUGAAAUUUUUAUUGUCACUUUUUUUCUAGACAUCAGAAUAAAUAUUUUUAAAAAUGUGUCAUUGAGAAAAGAUCCUGAAUUCUACAUUCUUUCUUCCAUCAUUGUAAGCGGCCAUUUACUAUGUAGUUGCAUAUGCACUUGUCAGAUAUUGAGAAACCAAUGAGUGAAUGAAGAGGAGUCUCAUGGAGUUGGAAGAGAUUAUUAAUCAUGCUGGAAUGAGUCAAUGUGGGAGUACUUCACGGACUGUGGAGCUGAUCUUUCACCUACAUCUUUCUGUCUCCAUCUUUAAAGGGACACCAUCAAGAGAGAUGAUCUAUUUGCUGGCCUAUUGCCCAAAAAUCCACCAAAUCCAUGGUUGGACCAGGCCUAAACCAAGAUGCUGGUAAUCAACCCAGGUGUCCCACAUGAAUGCCAUGGACCUAAGUACUUGAGUCCACCUGUUGCAUCAUGCACAUCAACAGAAAGUUGGAUUGGAAGCAGAAUAACCAGGACUUGAACCAGGUACUCUGCUGACAUAAAAUGUAGGUAUCCCAAGUGGUGAUUUAACACUUGUGCUACAAGUGUUAGAUUUAUAGGAAAAUUACAGGGAUGUUACUAAGAACUCUUUCAUACCCCUCAUACAUUUCUCCCUCUCAUUAGCAUGGCACAUUGUUCACAACUAGUGAACCAGUAUGGUUAUAUCAUUUGUAACCAAUGUCCAUAUCCUUUUCAGAUUUUUUUAAUUCUUUUUAAAAAUGUAAUGCUGCUAUUCGCUUGCAAUAUCCCUUGUAAACUAGAUUUAUUCAUCAAGUCUCAAUCUCUCUUGAUGACUUUGAAAGUUUUGAUGCAAACUGCUCAGAUAUUUGACGCAAUUUCCAGGGUUGGAAUUUUCUGAUACCUUUCUUGUGACUAGACUGGAGUUAUGUGUUCUGAGAGGAAGACCACAGUGGUGAAUUGCCAUCCUCAACAUAUCGUAUCAGGAUAUAUAGUAUCAAUGUGAUACCACUUUCUUACUAAUCUUGAUCACCUGAUGUAGUGUUUGUCAAGUUUCUCCACUCUAAAGUUACUCUUUCCUCCACUUCUCAUGCUCCAGGAAAGGAAAUCACUGUGUAGAACCUACACUUCACCUCCCACUUAAGGGUACACUAUAUACCUGAAUUACUUGAGCUGUUUUAUUUGAUAUUCUUCUAUAUAUGAAAUUUGUCUCUUUUGUUGUAUUAUUCAUGCAAUCAUUUAUUGAAAGUAAUAUGUAUUCAUAUUUAUUUAUCCAAUGGGUUAUAAUGCAAUACUAUAUUUUAUUGUGCACAUUGUUCCAGCUUUAGAUAUGCCAAUUGUCUCAGCAGCAAAGAUGCCACUUGGGGCUCUGUCAUCUCAUAUCAGUAUGCUUGGUUUUGAAUCCUUGUUCCAUUCCUGAUUUCAGGUUCUUGUUAAUGCACAUCCUAAGUGAUAGCUCAAGUUCUUGGGGCCCUGCUACCUCCAUGACAGACCCAAUUUGAGUUCUGGAAUCCUGGUUUUAGCCUGGUCUAGCCCUGGAUGUUGUGGGCAUUUGGGGAAUGAACUGCAUAUGAGAUCUGCCUACCUGCCCGCCUGCCUGCCUGCCUGCCUUCUAUCCUUCCA